ensembl:lncRNA
CUGAUGAAUCAUUCACAAUAAAUGAAGUAAAUUAGCUAUCAGGAAAGUAAACACACACUCUUGUUGAUCUUAAAAUGUUUACAGUAAUUCCAAUUCUUGCAUUUACACGGCUGAAUGUCAGAAGUUUGAGAUUAUGAGUUAAUGACUCCAGUCAUCAAUUUCUCUUUGUUCUAAACAGUUCAAAUAGCGAUAAUUGCUGGUUUUAGGUAAUUACGAUGUGUUGUAAUGAGCCUCUCAAUAAAUCAUUCCAGUGAUGUUUAAGUGUUUGUUUGGUUCACUUUAUUCCCUCUUAAUUCACUGUGCUUACUGUUUUUUAGUUAAACAGAUAUGUAUUUAAUUACUAGCAGAUGCUGCCUGUUGUUCUCAUAAUCUAACCUAUAUAUAAGUACACGUUUAUGCUGUAACUGUGUUAAUUAGUUAAGUCAUUGUGAGGGAUGUGGUUUUUCAUUGUCGUCAAAUAUUAGAUUUGAACCACCUGAAUCUGAGCUUGUGAUCAUCAGAAGUACAAUGUCAAUAUUAGGGACUGUUCUUGAUGUUUCUGAGAGAGUUUGGAGACGAUCAAUACUGUUUACGCCAGUGGAAAACAGCUCAUCUCUACAGCACAGAGUGUGAAAAUACUUACACAUCACCCAGAAUUCUGUGCAAGUGACAAUUUACUUCUAAUGCUUCCUAAUGGUGUGUUUAACACUGCAUGUGAUGCAAAACACAUUUCUGCCUAAUUAACCCUUCAAAUGCUGUCCUAUGUGUGAUUUUGUUGAUAACUCGUUUAUUUUCUUCAGAGUGAGACAUCACAUCACACCAAAACUGAAGUUUGUCAGAACAAAAAUAAGACAACAAACAAGAAAUCAAGUUUGUUGGGUGAACGUUGGUGUUUGUUAAACAAUGCUUGUAUCUUUCUUACAAAUUUUAUUGUGAUCUGCCUCUUAAGCUGAGAAACUUUGCAGUGUUGCACUUUGAGAAUAAUCUGUUUAAGCACAGGUUUCCUCACACUGAUAGUUCAGCAGACCAUAUCCGCAAAGAAGUAAAAUUUGGCAAAUAAUUUUACAGGUCCCUUGAAGAUUAGCCUUUAAAUGAUUGAUUUUAAAAGAUGGGAUUUACAUUUUUUUUCUUUUUUUUUUGGAGAGCGAUAAGAGAAUGCUUAGCCUUAUAGCAAUAACAAAGACAAUAUUCUGAACUGAGGUGUGAAAAAGAAGCUUUGUUCUCAGGGGACUUCUUCGCACAUUUUGGAAGUUUUAAUCAUUUAAGUUUAUUAGCUCUAUUUGUUUAUGAGUAGAUGCAGUCUUAUUAGAGAGAAAAGUUGGAAACCUCUUACACUUGAAGGCAAACUUGUUUUAAACUAUAUUGUAUUUUGAAAUGAAAAGUUUAAAAAAAUCGGAUUGCUUUUGUAUAUAACUUAAUGCAACUAAAAAGAUAAGUGGAGUUAUUGGACAGAGAUAUUAAUUUAAAUUACAAGCAUUAAGUCUAUUCAACUUAAAAUAAUUGUUAGAAUAUAUCUCUAAUCUUUAAGUAAAAUUCACUCAAAUUUUCAAGUACAAAUUAUGUAGUUU